rnacentral:rRNA from 1 species
GACGGGCCCCGCACAAGCAGCGGAGCGUGUGGUUUAAUUCGAGGCUACACGAAGAACCUUACCAGGGUUUGACAUGUCACGUGGUAGGAAUCCGAAAGGUGACCGACCUUCGGGGAGCGUGCACAGGUGUUGCAUGGCUGUCGUCAGCUCGUGCCGUGAGAUGUUCGGUUAAGUCCGCUAACGAGCGCAACCCUCGCUGUGUGUUACAAGUGUCACACAGGACCGCCGGUCUUAAGCCGGAGGAAGGUGGGGAUGACGUCAAGUCAGCAUGGCCUUUAUGUCCAGGGCUACACACACGCUACAAUGGUCAGCACAAUAGGUAGCCAAGCCGCGAGGUGGAGCCAAUCCUCAAAGCUGGCCUCAGUUCAGAUCGCAGGCUGCAACCCGCCUGCGUGAAGCCGGAGUUGCUAGUAACCGCAGGUCAGCUAUACUGCGGUGAAUACGUUCCCGGGGCUU